rnacentral:lncRNA from 1 species
CAAUAAUAUAUAUAAAAAUAAUGAUAUUAAAUUAGUUAAUUCGAAAAAUUUCGAAAUAGAUCGUACAUUAUGUAAAGUCAAAGGUAAAAACUUAUAUGAAGGUGUAUGCGGACAAACUAAUGAAAUAAUAAUCGAAUCAAUCAAUACAGAAGGAAGGCUUAUUUAUGAUGAUCAAUGUAUAUUCGAAGCUUAUGUAAAAAGCAAAGAAGAUGUUGAUAAAUUAAAUUAUGUUAAAGAACAAAGCGUGGAAACAAAGCAUGAUUAUGAUAAAUUUAUAAAAAAUAAUUUAUAUAAUAAAUAUCUAUAUGAAAAGCAUAAUUCGUUAAUAAAUUUGGAUUAUAACAGAUAUAAUAUAAAUGGUGUUUAUAGUAACUAUAAAAAUAUAAAAGAAAAAAAAAUAAAAGACAGAGCUGGUUUUUUCGAACAUGAGCACGUACGUGAGCAUUUAAGUGAGCAGGGGAACGAAUAUGAACAGGGGAACGAAUAUGAACAGGGGAACCAAUAUAAGCAGGGGGACCAAGAUAAACAGGGGAACAAAUAUGAACAAGAAAAUAAGUAUGAACAAGAAAAUAAGUAUGAACAAGAAAAUAAGUAUGAACAAGAAAAUAAGCAUGAACAAGAAAAUAAGCAUGAACAAGAAAANNNNNNNNNNGAACAAGAAAAUAAGCAUGAACAAGAAAAUAAGCAUGAACAAGAAAACGAUAGUUAUUUUGGGAGUACAAAUAAGGAAAAAAGUAAAAAAAACGAAGCACGUCAACGUAGUGUACAUUUCGAAAAGACCGAUUCGUUUAAGAACGAAUGUACAAAUACACAAAAUAUACAUGACACAAACUGUGCUACCAAUGAAGAGACAAAUCGAAGUAAGGAAAAGGUAACAGUGAGUAGCAUAACACAACCAAGUUACGAAAGAAUAAAACCAUUUAUACAGAAAACAAUGCCGACAUACCAUACAAACAUAUUAAACAAUAUCAACGAUUAUAAUGAAACUAUAAGAAAAGCAUAUAUAUUUAAUCAUAUCGACUAUGAUACAGAAUAUAUGAAGUUAAUAAAAGAU